AGUAGAUAUGCAAUUUAUGUGGAUGUCUUUUCAAAACAUUAUCUGGUUUAAAAAGCCACAUCAGACGCCAUGAUAGAUCUAAGGUGUAGGUACAGGUGGUG